GAUGCACCUUCCCAGAGAUCCUUGAGAAGAAUGGUGUGAAAUUCGGUGAGGCAGUGUGGUUCAAGGCUGGUGCACAGAUCUUCUCUGAGGGAGGGCUUGACUAUUUGGGGAACCCAAACCUAGUCCAUGCUCAGAGCAUUCUUGCCAUCUGGGCUGUUCAGGUUGUGCUGAUGGGGUUUGUUGAAGGGUACAGAGUUGGUGGAGGACCUCUUGGUGAAGGCCUAGACCCUGUCUACCCUGGAGGUUCCUUUGACCCUCUUGGUCUUGCUGAUGACCCUGAUGCAUUUGCUGAGUUGAAGGUCAAGGAACUCAAGAAUGGUAGAUUGGCCAUGUUCUCCAUGUUUGGUUUCUUUGUUCAGGCCAUUGUCACUGGCAAGGGCCCUAUUCAGAACCUCUACGACCAUGUUGCUGACCCUGUUGCCAACAAUGCUUGGGCUUAUGCCACCAACUUUGUCCCUGGACAAUGAUCAUGUCUUUUUAGAUGCAAUGCAAUCUUCUGCUCCUGAAGAAUCUGCAUGAGAACAAUUAUAUAUAUCCCUGAAAUAUCAAACUCUUGACUUGUGUUGUUAUAUGGUUUUCUAUUUUCCACAUAACCUGAACUGAACAAACUUUUCCUAAAUGUUAAUUAGUUCAAACAUUGAAACCAUGUUGAAGGAAUCUAUCAGUGAUGUACCAAGAACACCAUCCAACGAUUAAG
rnacentral:lncRNA from 1 species